GCGGGAAUAGCUCAGUGGUAGAGCACAACCUUGCCAAGGUUGGGGGCGCGAGUUCGAGCUUCGUUUCCCGCU
rnacentral:tRNA from 1 species